rnacentral:rRNA from 1 species
UACGUAGGGUGCAAGCGUUGUCCGGAAUUAUUGGGCGUAAAGAGCUCGUAGGCGGUUCGUCGCGUCGGCUGUGAAAACCCGGAGCUCAACUCCGGGCCUGCAGUCGAUACGGGCGGACUUGAGUGUUGCAGGGGAGACUGGAAUUCCUGGUGUAGCGGUGAAAUGCGCAGAUAUCAGGAGGAACACCGGUGGCGAAGGCGGGUCUCUGGGCAACUACUGACGCUGAGGCGCGAAAGCGUGGGGAGCGAACAGG